CCGCUCUAGUGGUUCGUGGCUUUUCACUGUAUACCGAAGUGUCCGUGUGACAUGACAUAUGAUUUUUCAAUCAGAGUCCGUUAGCAAUAUUAUAUCUAGCCACUAAUUGUACGGUUGAAAAUUCAGCGAUGUCGUCGUCAGAGGUGUCGAUGCUCGUAGAUAUGGGUUUUAGCCAGGCAAAGGCCGAACGAGCCCUACAAAUUACCGGAAACAAAGGUGUCGAACCGGCUAUGGAAUGGUUGCUUGCUCAUUCCGAUGAAGCCGAACCUUGCCCUACGCCCGUAGUUGAAAAUCCUGUCAGUAUGCACGCACCAACAACUGAAUCUCCACAGGAAAGUGUCGCUGGUGCAAGUAACGAAGAUGCAUCGGCAGCUAUUGCCAAGUCCAUUAAAUGCGAUGUAUGUGGAAAACUGUUCAAAUCUAAUUUAGAGGUGGAAUUUCAUGCUACAAAAUCAGGACAUGACAGUUUCUCUGAGAGCUCGGAAGAGAAAAAGCCACUGACGGAGGAGGAGAAGAAGGAGCAAUUGAGGUUGUUGGAAGAAAAAAUGAGACAAAAAAGAAAAGAGCGAGAGGAACAGGAAAAGAAGGAAGCAUUUGAAAAGGAGAAAUUGAGGAUACGCUCCGGCAAAGAGAUGGUCGAAGCUAAGAAAAAGCUUGAAGACUUGGAAAUGAAGAAACUAUUAGAGCAAAGGAAAAGAGAAAAAGAAGAGGAGAAAUUAGCAAAGCAGAGAGUCAGGGAGCAAAUCGAAGCUGACAAAGCAGCAAGGCGAGCUAGAGCUGCCUCUGAAGCUGGACGCGUCACCGUGUCCCCUGUAGCUUCGGUUGCUGCACCAACCCUCGCAUCAACUGGUCCAAAGAGAAAUUAUAGCGAAACGAAAUUGCAGCUCGAAUUAUAUCUUUUAGAUCAGGCUAACGAACGGUCAGGCAUUGACACAGACCUUUGGAUCCAAGGAACAACUUUCUGCUGUACGACUGUAUAUUGAAAUGAAUAGAACUGAUGGUUCGGGGUUGUUUAAUUUAAUGACUACGUUUCCUCGGAAAAUUUUUACUGAGGACGAUUAUGAAAAACCGUUGGACAUUUUAGGUCUGGUACCGACAGCUGUUGUGAUAGUACAGAAGAAAACGGAAUUACAGUAGCAAAAAUUAGUGUCUUAAUCGAUUUACAAACUGCGUGACGCAGUUAUAAUUUUAUGAACAUUAAUACUAACGAUAUAAAAUAAUGUAAAUUAAAGCACUUUAAUACUAUAAAAUUGUUAUUCAUUUAUAGACCAUUAUUUGUAACGUUGCUGUAAUGUGUGCAUUCUGUAACUGUAUUUUCAUUUGCCACAUCAAUCAAUUUCGAAUCUCUUGUAAUAACAUAUCGGCAUAUGAUAACACGUUUCGAUUGUUUGUUCACCAAACAGCUCUUUGGGUACUUAAAAAAUUGCAUACAAUUAAUCGAGUAAAAUUUUUCUUUAUUCAAAAAUGUAUAAUUUUUCUAAAAAAAAAGGAUGUAUUAUGCUUUUAUCAGGCACUGGUUUCCUGUCACAAAACUUGACAUUCAAACAUCGUAAUUUCUUCUAGUUACGUUACAAUACAUAAGUUUCUAGAUAUACCUUGGGUUGCUGUAUAACGGCAAUAGACAAAAUUACGCUCAUAAUAUUAUACAAUUUUUGAUUCACCUAGUUUGAACAUUUUGAUUACUAUUUUACUAAUAUAACAUUGUAAUUGGAUGGAACUGCGCUAGGAUAAUUUACUGGCUUCUUCCGAUUACAGUUUGAAGGAAAGUCAACGAUGUUGUCACAAUCAGUCAGCUUCAAGCCUUUAUCCAGGCAAAUCCGUAUUUCGAAUAUGUAAGAUUCAUGCGUUUUCUACAAUGUAAUAAUAUAAUAUAUGUAGAAAUGAUAUUAGUUGAGACACAAUUUUCGACUAUCAUGUCGAGUAAGAAUGUAGAGAUAUCGGUAUUCCAAUAAUUAUAUAGCUGUCAAAAAAAAAUUUUAAUAUUUAAAAACAGAAUAUUGCCGUGUAUUUUGACGAUAAUAUAAAAAAUCAACAAUGGCACAAAACAAUGAAUGAAAUUAAUAUUAAUGAAAAAGUCUCACCGGACUCGUGAUACACUCGACCUCGAUAGUUUUUCCUAAAAUUUUUUCCACACCACUAAUGAUUUGCUCUACGGGAUAAGCUUGACCAGUGAAUAUUCCUGCCUUGGCAAGCACGUGAGUCAUGUCAUAUUCUUUCAACAGAUCCAAUCCUUUUUGAAAAUAUUUCAGUUCUGUAUUCAAAGGAUCAAGGACGGAUGCACAGGUACCAUGUUUGUCCCACUCGUGUUUCCAGAAUGAAAAAUGUGGUGUACCAUCUUCAAUGUUUAUCCAUUUCUCAUCUAACUGAUGGACUAUUGGCAUUAAAGCAGACUCAUUAAAACGCUGUG